rnacentral:lncRNA from 1 species
CUUUAAGACCAGAAAGAUAUUUUUUUUUUUUGAUUCUAAAUUCGAAAAUAUGGGCAAUGAUUGUGAUGGUGUCCUACCAGGCACCAGCACAGCAGAAGGAAUGUCUUCGGUUGUUAUAACCUUAAGUCCUUAAGCAGAAAGAAAGAAAACCAAAAUUUGAUGAUCUUUGGUUGAUGAUUCUUUCGAGAAAAAGAGGAACAGGACCGACUAGUUCUCAGAGACUAUAAGAGCUAGAGCCACCAAAUUUUGGCUCCGGACUGCUGUAUGCUCACACUGAAACCAGUGUAUUUCAAAAAUUAGCCCCGCCCACUUCCGCCCCCGCAAAAGGGGGAAAACCUCUCAAACCUACAAUAUUGAAGAUAAAAGAAAACUAAAAACGCCAUUCCGUAGGGAAUGACGAUAGAUCACCAAAUUGGGAUCCGAUUGGAUCAAUAUUAUAGCUAGAAUGGAGGAAUUAAUUUCCAGUGACUAAACCCACCCUGUCCCGCAGCUUUUGUUGUUCUUUUCACAUUCUCUCAUUCACACUAUGCUUCUGCUUCACUCGGCCUCUGUCUCUGCCCUCCCACUGCCGCUGCCGACUUUUAACCCACCCCGUCCGUGAUCUGUGCUUUGUCUCGGAUCCGACCGUAGCGUUCUUAACACGAGCACUCCCGCUCACUAUAGCUGAAGACUGCUAUCAUCCUACUUUCGAAGUGUCGGUAGAUAUUGGACCUACUGUAUCGGAUCGUGCGGGUAGGCUAUCUGAACGGGUCCGCUGCUUUCGUAAAGCCGAGUUUACGAAGCUCAAUAACUUAAUUGGGAGUUUUGAUUGAUCCGAUCUGUACUCGUGCACUGACGUCAUUGGAGGCAGAAACAUUUUUUUACAAUGUACUUGACACAAUUUUUGACACGUGUGUCCCACUUUCAUAACCAACUAGAUCUGCGAAACCUCCUUGCUUCACCAAAGAGUUAUCCAGUCUAAAUAACCUAAAAUUGUACUGUUCUUAAUGCUCAAUGCUAUAGGAACUACCUCCUUCGAUGCAGGAUACGUUUUUCACAGGACCCUAAACAGUUCUACAGCUUUGUAAACAGUAAGCGUGGAAGUUAACACAUAAGCAAUAACAUGGGACACCCUAACUUAGCGCACUAGAAAUGUGAAAUAUCAUGUGCCGCCCUAACUUAUCCAGUCCGAUACGGAGGGCGCCGAUGCAGUAGAUGCCGUUGCAGCGGGCGGCUCUGUUAUCUGAUUGGGCGCCAGCGAUCGCAUGAUCUUGUUUACGCGCGGGCGGCUCUUAUCUCUUGUGUGCGCGGACGGCUCGCCGGCUAGGUUUCGGUGUAGGUUUAUAAGUAAGCUUUAGUUUAGAAUUGGACGAAUAAAUGAACGGAGCGUUCAUAUCAACUCCGACACAAGUCGUAAAACGUGUAUUGAUAUAAUUAUAUUGUUGAGCCUUAAGGGCCAACGAAAGAGAGGGCAGUUACCCUCUCAACAUAAUCUUCGGUAGAAGACUCAGUUGCCAACCGCAACCACCGUCCCCCGCUACAAGAGCGGGCCACGGGAACCCGAUCGCUGCCGCCGGAGCCAACGCAACGCAUACCGCAGCUCGGACCAAAAACGAC